rnacentral:lncRNA from 1 species
ACUCAGGAGCAGGGAGACAGCGGGCGCGCGCGCGGAGGCCGGAGAGGCGUUUGCGGCCCAGCGCCUGGACUGGACCUUGGCGUUGGGCCGCAGUUGCCCGGAGUUUUUGGGGCCCCCGGGAACCCGCGCGCCGAGGCCGGCUAAGUUUGGCAGACUCUCUGAGCUCUCGGAAUUCGACUGCCUCCAUUGUUGCUCCUUCUGGCACCCACAGACCGUAACGUGGCCGUAAUUGUUUCCCGGAGAGCUUAGCUUCCCUCUGAGCACCUCCCUCCCCUUUUUAAAGUACCUUCCCACUCGCCUGCGUUUCCUCGCGUUAGUGGUGCAGGGGCCUCCGCAUUUGGGGAAAUAACAAACACCCACUUCCGCCCCCCACCCCAACCGGGAUCCCCAGAUAAUGAGAAAUAGAUGGUGGCCCUCUGUUUGUAAGCUGUUCAUUUGCAUAGGUCGGAACCGCGCACCACAGCUUGAAGCUAGGAAUUAAAAUAUCGGUGGGAAUUAAAUAAGUGGCUGGCUUAAAGAACAUCUUCUUAAUUUAUCCCCAAAUGUAGACAUCUCUUCAGUGGACCCCCUGAUAGGCCGGUUUGCUCCAGAAGAGACGGGGUUUCACCAUGUUGGCCAUGAUGGUCUCGAUUUCUGACCUUGUCAUCCGUCCGCCUUGGCCUCCCAAAGUGCUGGGAUUACGGGCGUGAGCCACCGUACCCAGCCUGCUUCCUGUUUUAACAGACGAAGAAAUGGAAUAACUUCCAACAAGUUGGAGCUGAAGGAGUGCCCAGGCUGCGGAUGGAGGAAGGACGUGCUCGGGAGAAGGUGAAGAUGGGAGAGAAGCAAGAUCUUCUGUGUUUGGACCAAGGACACAUUUCCUUACUCCAUAGCAGCUGUGGUCAGUGGCUUAGCUCGGACAAGGAGAUGAGAGCCCAUGUGUUGUGAGGGUUCUUCUGGGAACUCUGAGAAGGCAGGAGCCGCCCCCGCCCUUCACUGCCUCUCUUCCAUUCUGCAGCAUGGAAUAUGGAUGUGUGGUCUGGAUGUACAGACACCAUUUUGGACCAUAAAGACAAGGACGAUUGUCUAAGGAUGACACAGCCAGAGCACUGAGAGUGGCGAGAAGGACAGGGGAGCUGCUGUGCCAAGCAGGACUGUCUCUCUUAAGAGAAAAAUAAAAUUUAUUGGUGUUUAAACCAUU